rnacentral:lncRNA from 1 species
UUUCAUAACAGGAUUCAGCAAAGCUGCGUUGAUUUCAUACGAUUCCGCACUAGUGACGGAAGCAAUCGGAGUACUAAUAAAAUUAUUAUUAUUAGUGCUCGAGAAGUCACAAAGUUUGGUGUUUUCAGCCAUGAUAACUUCAACAAACCAACAAGCACACAAGCAAGCAAGAGAACCGGCAAAAGAAAACGACAAAGACAAAAGAAAACGACGAAGGAGAAAGGCAAAUGAAAACGACAAAUGUGAAGUGGGGGAGAGGAAAACAAGAGGCAACUGGCAACAAAAGUAAAUGCAAGAGAAGAGUUUGUGAGAACUACUUGGAUAGAUCUUAAUUUCUCCUCUCCGACAACGGCGCCAGAAAUGCUUCUGAUGUCAGCUAUGCUAAUGCACAAAAGUCCUUCCAAUGGCGCCAGAAACAGGUGUGUCGACGGCACCAGGAAUCCUGCAGCUACGGCUACGUCUUAAGGGACUUUCUAGACAAGUAUGCAACGGAUAUCCUCCGUGGCCUUGGAGCCUUGCAUUGGUGUUCCCUUGAAACGGAAAGGGUGAUGUAGCACAGCGACGGUAAGUAUUUCCUCAGUUUAAAAACCAAGGUAUCAAUUCGGUGAAGGAGUAUCACAAGAUCCUGCACAAACAUAAAAGCUUGCUCCCAACGCUGUGAAGGGGUUGUCAAUCCCUUAUAGAUUGUUUUCCAAGUGAGAACUGAAAGAAACAAAAUAACAAAGCAAAGUAAAAAAACGAAGGUGUAAACGAUGGACGUGAAUAGACCCGGGGGCCGUAGUGUUUACUAGUGGCUUCUCUCAUGAAAGCAAGUAGACGGUGGGUGAACAAAUUACUCUCGAGCAAUUGAUAGAACCGCGCAAAGUCGUGACGAUAUAUGCAAUGAUUAUACCUAUAGGCAUCAUGUCCAACACAAGUAGAUC